CUCAGUAAUUCAACGAGAAAAAAAAUCGAACAAAUAUUUAUAAAAGAUUACUUCGAAGAUUAAAACUCAGAAUUUCCCCUUGAUUUACGUCGUGCACGUUUAGCUUCUGGUAUCCCCAUAUGGAAAUUGCAUAAUACGACUUUUAAUAUAUUUUUACAAAAGUAAACUGGUAAACAUAUUCCGGAUCAAUCAAAAAAAUGUGUAUCAGUUCUUUACAACGAAGUAAUUGGUCGUAUUUGUAAAGAAAUUGCAGAGGGCCCAAUAUAUAUUUCAAUUGAUGAAACUACUGAUGAUGAAAGAAGGUACGUAUCUAAUGUUUUAGUUGGCCUUAUGCAUGAAGAGAAAGUUUCUGAGUUAUAUUUAUUAACAUGCGAAAAACUUUCAAAGUGCAUUUAUCAAACUAUAGGGAAAUUAUUUCACGACGAUUUAAAUAUACUUUGGCCCAACGAGAUUAAAUGUAAUAAAGUUUUUUUUUAUUUUUAAUUGACGCUGUGCCAUACUUGGUGGAAACGGUCGAUUCUCUAACUGUAUUGUUUUCAAAUACGAUACAUGUAACAUAUGUGGCUCAUGGACUACGUAGAGUGUUUGAAACAAUAAGGCUUGAGUAUCCAAAUAUUGAUAACAUGAUAAGCUGUGUGAAAAAAGUAUUUUUAAAAGCUCAGAGUUAUGUGAUGUUAAAAUUUCGAGAAUUCUUUCUAGAAUUACCUUUGCCACUAAAGCCUAUACUUACCCGAUGGGAACUUGGGUAAAAGCCACAUUAUAUUGUGCUAAUAAUUUCAACUCCAUAAAAUCGAUGCUUUUGUCUUUAGACGAAAGUUCCACGAAAUCAAUAAAGAAUGCUAUAGCUUUAUUUGAAAAUAAAAAUAUACAAAAUGAUAAAACUUAUUAAAAAUGUUACGUUGGCUUUAUCACUCAAUCUAUAUUAACAUAAGCAAAUACCUCAUUUUUACUCGAUGACAGUUUAAAAAUCGUUGAAAACACCAAAUUUAAACUUAGCCAAUCAAAGGACACAUAACUAGAAAAGUCGAUAAAAAAUUUAAAAAAAUGUUAGAAAAAAAUACCAGAUUAAAAUCUACGAUACGUAAAAUUUUAAAUGGCAACAACCGAUAUAAAGAUUUCUCAAUUAUAACUCCUGGAGAAGUAACACAAUUUAAAUACCAUAAGAUGUCGAAUAAAGUUUUAGCAAAUAUAAAAAUUUAUUGAAGACAAACAAAAAAACGUUUACUUUUGAACAUUUAAAACAUAGUGUAAUUAUUUCAUGUAAUUCAUUGGAAUAGCUUAAAUAAUGUGUUUUAAAAGUGUUUGUAUUAAGUGUUCAUUUUAUCAAUUGUUUCGUCGUAUUUUAACAUACAUAUUUAGAGUAAUAGGUAUUUAAAAACAAAUUAUAGAAAAUGCGAUUAUUUAAUAAUAUAUAUGUGGUAUAUAUUAGCAUAUUUGUAUUGCAUAAUUUUGAAUAUUUAUAAUUGAACAAAAGCAUAUUUCAUAUUUUUUUAUUGCAUAUAAAUCCUAGCCCGAUAUUAUUAUUAUUCAUGUUUUAUUUAACUAAAAAACUCAUAUGAACAUUGCCUAUAUAAAACGCCUUAUAAUAAUUAGAAUGUACAAAUGCGUUCUAAUAAAUACUAUGUUCAAUCGUUUCGUAUAAAAACUGUUAUUAAACCAUAUUAUUUUAGAAACUAUAAAUUCAAAAAUUGUGUACAUUAGAAAAAAACAAAAAAAAAAACACAGGUUAAUAUAUGGACCGAAUUAUAGGUACCGGAAUUUUUAAAAAAAUAUUUCCAUUUCGAAUUUGAUUUUGAAUACAUGGUUCAAAUCCAAAAUUGAUAUUAUGUGUUUAAAAUAUGAUAUACGCGGAUAUAAAGAGUAACAUUUUGCAAAUAAUAUUAUCAUUAAAAAUGUUGUUUUAGUAAUUUGUAAUAAUCUAAAAAACCAAAAUCAAAUCAAUACACACAACACUUUUAUAGAUAAUAUUAUAAUUGCCUAAUAAAUUCUGAGCGAAACGUCAGUGACGAAUGUAUUGAUUUUACAUUGAUGUUUUUAUUUUUUUUUUAUAUACUGUGUACAAAAUGUCUACCGGAAAUCUUGCUCCAACAUAUAGAAUGUAGCAAUAUUUCUGAAAGAAAAUUUAAGCUAGUUGAUACUAUAACCAGGUCAUUUUUUGAUUUGCCAAACAGUUUUCAUAAUUAUUGGGGAAAACCAGAAAAAGCCGUAGGAAAAAUGGGAAAAUUUAUUUUAAUAUUAAAAGAUUUUGUUUUUUUUUUAUUAUAAUUCGGUUAAAAAUGGAUAUAGAAACUUGGAAUUUCGACAGAAAAUAUAAAUUUGCCGUUUCUGAACACGAUAAAUUUUCAAAACAUUUGAACUAAUUUUGAAUUAUUUAUAAUCAUUUUAAUUCUACGAGUUUUUACGUUGUUUUUAUUUGGUAAGUAGGUAAUCUGUGAAUAAAAUUGUUAGAUUGAACAAAAAUGCUUGGAAAUUUAACAAGUGGUUUAUUAUAAGGUAUACUUAGUGGUCAACAAGAAAAAUUUGAGUUUAAUGUAGUAUUUUUUUUAUAAGAAUUUUAAUUUUAAAUUUUGACAAAAUUCGUAAAUACAUAAUACUGCCUUUAAAAAAAUGUACAACCGAACUCCGCUCAGAAUCGUUUUUCGCUAGCAAUGAUUUGUCGUUGCGUACAAAUAUACAUUGAAUUUCCCUCGAUACCCAACCUUUACAACUUCUCACUUAUAAAAGUGGUUGCACCCACGUACAAAGUUGCCUGGCUUUUUUAUUAACGUAUUUACAACUUUAUGAGAACGUUUGUCUGUAUUCUCAAAAAUAAAGAAAAUUUAAAAAAAUCAUACUACGCAAUUUACAUGACUAUUUCUGAAUUUAAAUUAAUUAUGAACUAUUAUAUCGAUUAAACGCCGAUUUUAUCAUUAUAAUUAUUAACGUGAUGUCUAAUGAGACACAUUUUGACAUUCUUAUGACGCAUGUUUUUUUAGAUUUGUUAUAAAGUUCUUAUUUUUCUUUUUCCGAAGACCUAUAAUAUAUUUUCUAUAAAUUUUUCUUCGAAUAAUGAGUUUUUCUUUUGAACCUGAGACUUACAUUUUUAUAUUUAAAAAAAAAAAAUUCUUGUACCAUGGUAUACCUACUUAGUAAAACUAAUACUAAUUAACGCAUUUUAAUUUCUUAUAAAUAAAAAUAAAACAUACUUAUAAUAAUAAUCAGUUAUUAAAAUUGAAUAUUAAUUACACAGCAUUAAAUACGGUUGAUGUGUUCUACAUGCAAAAGACAAUAAAUAAAUUAUAAUUGAUCAGUUGUUAAAUUAUAUUCAAUUACUAAUAUAAUGAUUCAUCGAGUCAGUUUAUAAUUAUGAUUAUUGUAAUUGUAAAUGGCCGCGUCCGAAUUGUGUGCUAAAAAAAGAGCGAUGUCUCUCGACAACUGAGUUGGGUGCAUGGUUUUUUUGUUACAGUCAAUUUUUAAAUAAUAAUAUUCAGAAAUGGGCAUACACAAAAAUAAUGUGUAAAUCUUAUUUGUUUAAUAAUUCAACCACUUGAUCUAAGUAAAAAUGUUUAAAUUAUUUUAAUUUUAAAUCGUUAAAUCAAAAAAUAAAAGUAUUUCUAAGAGAUAAGUUUUUCAUAGAAUCUAAAAUCAAAAGAAAAAAAAUCACGCACAUAAAUAGACCUACAUUACAAUUUCUGCACUCAGUUCGGAAACACCGUUAUAAAUAUACUAAAUAAAUGCUUGAUUGAAACAAAUGCAAGAGACAAAAGUUAUAAUAUUACAAUAGUUUAACAGAGACGUAGCUACGGAGGACUAAAGUAACUAUAACCUCCCCCAUAGUCCGUAUGAAUGUGUAUAUACUAUUUUACGGUUUUAAUUUUAAAUACGUUUCUCACUAUUUCGUUCAGUCUAAAAAUAACUUUUCCUGCUUUCUCUGCUGGACCGUAUAAAAAACCCGAUUUAAGGAGGAGCGAUAUGCCAGAUAAUAGAUUGGUAUAAUAAUAUGUUAGCCAAGCAUAAUAUAAAUAAAAAAAAAAAUUUUAAAUUCAUAAUUUCAACUUUACUCUAAAGUUUCUUAAGAAGAUGCAGCUAUUAGAGUGAGAUUUACUCCACUCUCAGAUUAGGUCCACUCUACUCAGUAAUACGAGUUAUGUUAAGACACAUAUUUUAUUCUUAUUUCAAUAUCUAUUAAGUUUUUUUAUUCUCAUUUCCGUUUAAUAUAUUACAAUAAAAUGCAUAUUAAUUAAAAUAUUUUUCUAAAUUCGUUGGGUGUUUAAAUUCCCCUCAGCCUCUUAUGUCUUCCCCCGUGUCUCAAGCAUAAACAUAAUUAGUUCCUUUCAAUUAAAAUCCUAUCUACGUCACUGUUAAUUUACAUUGUAUUAUAUUAUUUAGUUAAACUAAUUUAGAUUUAGUCAUCAAUAGGACUCGGGAUUCAUUGAAUUUAAAAUAAACAAUAAAGUAAUUAAAAACGUCAAAAAAGUACUUGAGAAAUAUUUAAAAACACAAAAUGAUAAAGUCGCUUAAAAGUCUCUUUUCUAAUAGCUCAAACUUAUUAAAUAUAAUUUUCUAACACUACAAAAAUUAUAAAAUGUACAAAUUUAUUUAAAAAACAAUUACUUUGUGUAGUGUUAGAACAUUCUAUUUUAUACUUUAAGAGUCGUUAAAGGGAAGAAUUUUUAAACCCUUCUACAAUUUUUAAUACUUAAGUGUUUUUUUUUUUAACGUUUUUGCCCUUUUUUGUGGAUUUUAAGUGCAUAAGUCUCGAGCCCAAAUUAUCAAUAAUUUCGAUUUACCUUAGAGAUAACUAUUGGCUUUAAAAUAGUAGGUAGUAUUUAAAUGUCGCCACGUGAAUUGUGAUUCUAAAGAAGCUUCAUCGAAGACAUCGGUUUGUAGGCUUCGUUGAUCAGCGCUUUUGCAAGCUAUCUAUACGUUUAAGAUUGGACAGAUAUUACAUUUAUAAUAGUAGUUCACUUAAUACAUUACGUUAACUGUAGUAAAAGAAGUAUCGGAUUUGAAUUAGCAUAACUAUUACAAAUAAAAAAACACUACCGGCUGUGUUGUUGAUUUUUUCUAAAAGAACCAUCGAGUCAGUACUUUACUCGCAUCUAGAAAUAACUAAUUAAUUAUAUUUCUCUCCCUACUAAUAAAUUUGAUAACAUAUCAUAGUUCUAAUAAUAAUUAAAUAAUAAUAUUUGACCAACAAUAAUUAUAAUGACCUUUCGAUAUAUAUAUAUAUAUAUAUAUAUAUAGAAUAUAAUGUGAUUAUAGCUUUUGAAAUGAGUAAUACUGUUAUCCUAAUUCUUGUCAUAUUAAUAAGUUAGGUACCUACUGCAAUUCCAAUAAUAAUUUCUUACAUACGUAUUAUGUUACAUUACAAAAUUGAAUUAUCACGACUUGAAAUAAAAAUCUAAAUUCGAUUUAAUUAUGAUGUUCUCUUUCGUUAUCAUUAUCAUAUUAUGAUUAAUGAAUAUGGUGUUACAAUACCAAAAUAUAUUAUAUAAUAUACAUAUUUGAUAUAGUCGAUAUAGGUAUUCCAGUUAACUUGUCGUGUAAAAUUUAUAUAAGUAGAGUACUGUGGUAUAUAUUAAUUUAAAUUUAACAAAGAAAAAUUAAAUUUUGUUAAAUCGUUUAAUAAGUACUUAAGUAUUAUUAGUAAUACUACGAGUUUAAUUGUUUUGUUUUGUUUUUUUUUUUUUUUACGCCCAUUAUAUGUAAUUUAUCAAUUUAAUUUUUAAUUAAAUACGCUAACAUCCAAAUUACACAAAAUAUACACGAAAAUUCAAUAAAAUUAAUCGAGAUGAAUUAAAACCGUACGAGAUUACUUGAAAACAGAUUUGUUUUUGUUAAAAUUUAUCUUCGUGGGUAUUACACUGUUCCGAGAAAUUAUUCAUCUAAAAAUAAUAAUAUUUAAUAUUCAAUAUUACUUGAUAUUAAUAAAUUUUGUCAAUGUUAAAAUCGUUUCAAAUCAUCUAAAUUAAUCACCGAAAUAAUUUAUUACAUAUAGAAACACACAAAGUACAAUGUUAUGUAAAAUUUCAACUCAAGUCAUAUAGUUGUAUUCUUAUAAAAAUAUUGUUUUAUAAAAAUAUUAAUAUAGUUUUUAUUAAAAUAUUAUUUUUUUAAAUUUUAAUUUUAACAAAUUUAAACUAAAAUAUUACACAUAUUUACCUAAAACCGAAGUUCAGAAUUUUUAUGAGCAUCAAUCUAAUUCGUUAUGUGUGUGUUUAGAUUGAAGGUAUUAUUGUUAUUAUUAAAAUAAACAGUACCUAAUUAUUAUUUUGGUCAAUUUAUACUAAUAAUAAAAUAUACAGGCUGUCCCACAAAGAUAUACCCCUUGAAUAUCUUCGGAGAUAAUAAAGAUAAUCAAAUUCUUAUUUUUAUAUUACUUAAAGGGACGAAGACUACAAAUAUUUGCAUUUGAAUUAAAUUUUUUUUUAUUUUAGUAAAAAAAUUUAAAAAAUAAGUUUAUUUUUUUUGUUCAGAAAAUUUUAAGAUAGCUAUUCUGUAGAAUUUAUUUUUCUGAAAAUUUUAAUAUAUUACACAUUUAUAUCUGAUGAACAGUUCCUAAGUAAAAGCCAUUUUAAAUUCUACUAAUCCGUUAAAUUUUUCAAUGACUACUCUAUUACCAUAUGAUCAACGGUUGAUGAUAACCAAAUUAUAACGGUUACCUGGUUCAAUUCACCGAUUACUUCUCGUCUGUAAUUUACGUUUUUUUAAAUAUAUAUUUAUUUUUAAACGCAACUCGCGAUGAAAUAAAUCCAAAACCUAUGCGGUCGAUGACUAAUGACAACUAAAAUGACUUACAUGGUGGACGUAUAUUUUUACCUCUACGUUGUAGCAUAUUGGAGUAGGUAUAGUUCAUGUGAACUUCGGCUUAUUAAAAUCUCACCAAUUGCAUCAUAUUUAUAACAUUAUAUAUAAUGUUAAGAAUUAUAUGUAAUAAUAUAUUUUUAAUUUUUAUAAUAUUGCCGAUAAAAUUAAAUUGACAUAGUCGUAUUAAAGUUUCAAAAAGAGUGGUGGUGACGACGUGGAUGGCGAUAGAUAUUAUUAUGACUAAUUAUUAUUAAUAGACUAAAUUAGUAUGUCGUUCGAAUAUGAAAUAACACAUCAUGAUACCAUUACAUAUUACACAUCUGUGUCGACUGUCGAUAUAAAUAAACGCACGACGAGUGCAAUCAAUUUACAUGUUUUAAUUUCGAAUAAUUGUACUUUUCAUAAAGAAUAUGUUUUAGGACUUAAAAUAUUAUAUAACGUUGGUGUAUAUGUUCUUGUGGUGGAUGGCUGGCGUAUCUCAAUCAUUAAAAUUACAAAAAAUAAAUAGAACAAUGUUGGAAAACAAAAUAUUUUUGUUAUUUCUAGUACCAAUCCGAAUUAAUCCAAGAUUACUAUGAAGUAUAGAAAAACGAUAAACGAAAAUGUGAUAGAUAAAAAUGCAAGAAAACGCGACCAUUUAUCAAACCUAAAACUCUGUCUUAAUCUGACCUAACAUACUCAACGCCCCAUCCACUAGACCAAUGGUUUUCCGCCUGGGCGUAGCAACCCACAAAAGGGUCGCUAAAAACCAUAAGUAUCAUAAAUACUUUAGGUAUAUCAUAAUGUUUAAGUUGUAUUUAACUGGGAAGAAACUGACUACACGCGACUCCUUCCCCAUUUUUUAAAAAUUCUUUAUUGUUAAUUUACCAUUCUAAAAAAUGUUCAAAAUAUAGUAUGUAAUAAAAAAAUGAUUAGUAACUUCCCUCCCCCUCCCCAAAAUGUAUUCCUAGCGGAUACAAAUGUGUAUAGAGACAGACACCUAAUAAUAAUUUACUUACAAAGUUUCGAUGACCACGAGUGUUUAAAUAGUUUACAUUUACUUGUCUCAUUUACUUGAGUCAUCAAUCAAGAUUAAUAUGUGGUGGUUAGAGAGAACGAUGCGGUAGAGUUAUGUCCGAGAUAUUGCAUUAUAAUAUAAUCAUAACGUAAAUUAAAAAAAAAAAAUGAACCUAAUUUACACGUGGUUGCAGCUACUGUUGUAGGUGGGAAGUUGGAAAGGUAGGAUACCAAAAGAAAUUUAAUGUUUAUCUGUAAGCAAAUAUAAACCAUUGCUAACGAAAAAACUAUUCUAAAUAGAGUUCAGUUUAUAGAAAUUUUUAAUUAUAGAAUAAUCGAAGUAAGCUUUCUAGUAGAAAAAGUGUUCACAUAAAAAAAUAAUAAUAAUAAUAAACAUCAUUGUAAAACCAAUACAUUCCUCGCUCAGCUCAAAAUCUAAAAUUAUUAAUAAUUAUAUUUACAUUAUUUUUAUUGCAAAGUAAUAUUAUUAUAAUUUUGACCCAUUUUAUACAGCGAUAUUAACCUAUAGUGGAAAGUUUAACAAUACUUUACUAAAAAUUGGGAUUUUAUAACCCAAACUAAAUAAGUAGUUAAAUUUAGACAUAACUGUAACAUUUAGUUUUUGUUACUAGUUUAAUAACUACUCGAGUUGUUCAACUAUUCGUGAUUACUGAUUAGUAUAGGAGGCUUAGUUAACAUGAUGCGAAAUUAUUAUACUUGCCAUUAUCAAUUCCCCCCUCCGGUUAACCGACAGUGGUGGAGAAUGUGUGUUAAGAUUGCUACACAGAGUGCCAUUAUUAUUUGUCACUCGCACUAAUACCUUCCGUGUAAACAAUAAAAAUAAUUUGAUUACGAGAAGAAGUGGCAUGUGUGAGUGAAUAGAACCAAGUUAUUUUGAUGGACGUAGCCGAUUCGGUUCCUGUUUUUUUACAAUAUAAACUCCUUCCCACUUCAUACAGCCUUAGGACUGUCUCAAAAAAAGGUGUGGUUAAAAAUGUGUGAUAUUGUAGAUUAUAUUCAAAGUAAAUUAUAAAAAAUAAUUUAUGUGAUAUUGUGAAUUGAAUUUUAUUGAAAUAGUAUUAAAUUUUAUUAUUAAAUAUAGAAAAAAAAAUGCAUGUAUGUAUAAAUAUACAUGUAGUAAUAAAAGGAGAAGAGAGUAUAAAGGGGAGAAUAAUAAUAUAUAAAUAAUGAUAAUUAUGUGAUAUAAGAAAAACGGAGUGUUUUACUUUGAUACCUAUAUUAAAUCUAGAAUUUUAAUCACUACCUUCCUCCUGGUGAGGGCUAUGGAGUCGUGAGUCCGAGAAUAAUGACGAUACCAAUAAAUAGAAAUUAUAAUUGUUUGACCUGCCCACGGUGUUGGAUUUUAUUUACCACUAGGAUAUUUUUUUUUAAAAGACGAAACUCAAAAUACCUACGUAGAUUUAUAGAAUUAUUUUCGAAAACUUUGUAGCGAUGAAAUAUUAAAUAUAAAAAAGAAAAAAGACAUUUGGACUUUGAAAUCAGUGCACAUAAAGAAGUGCUAUCUGUUUUCCCGAAUCUAAAAAUAAUGGCUUGCAGAUUUCACUUAAGACAAUCUUGGUAGCGUAAGAAAAACAAUAUUAAUGCAUAUUUAUAAUAUAUGUAUUUCUUUUUUUUUAUUAUUUAUUUAUUAUAUAAAUUCAAAGUGAAUCUAAUUUAAUAAUAGGAUACAUGGAUUCAAACGAUGAGCUUCGAAAAUGGUUCAAGCAAUUUUUCGCUUUGCCUUUCCUUGCAGUAAAUCAAGUAAAUGAAGCAUUCACUGAACGUAUAAGUGUUUGUCCCAACGAUGUACGAUAUUUGUUCAUUGAUUAUAUUUUGAAAAAUUAAAUUGAAGAUGAAUGCUUAUUUUCAUAAGAAUUGUGGACAAAAAGCCAUCAAUGAAGCCAAGUUAACAUUAGUUGAAUCAACACUAAUAUUUCUGUGAGUAAUAAUUAUUAUUAAUUAUGCUUUAUACAUACAACAAUGCUUCUGAAAGUUUUUAUAAUACCCAAUUUUACCACCCUCAUCCACAUAUUUAUUUAGUCCUAAAAGUUUUGAAAUUUCAGCCCGAAACUAAAACUAAAAUCAGAUCAAUUACAUUAUAUAAUGAUGAGAAAAUGUUGAAC